rfam:Schistosoma mansoni strain Puerto Rico chromosome W, complete genome
AUCCAGCUGAUGAGUCCCAAAUAGGACGAAACAUGCACCUUGGAU